ensembl:lncRNA
AAAUUUAACAAUGGGAAUUAAAUGAGAAGAUAAUUAUUAACUUCUCAGCUGUCAGAACUUGGGUGGAGGGGAAUAACGGAAGUCUCUUAUGUAACCUGCCUGACCUGCUGUCAUGUAUGGUACUGGGGCUGCUACAUCUUCAGCUAUCAGGGCUGACCUGUGGAUUGAUUCUAGCACUGCUCUGCCUCCUUGCCAGAAGCUAACUUCCUGCUUUUUACAUGUGUCCAGCACUGUUCUGCUAAAACUACAUGUGUUUUUUAAACUAGUGUGCUUUUACAUUAAUAGAUAUUGGUGAAUUAGUGUUCUCUCUCCCCUUCCCCUCUCCUCUCCUUCUCCCUCACCCUCUCGCUCCCUCUCUCCCUCUCUUUCUCUCUCUCCCUCUCUUUCUCUCUCUCCCUCCCUCCCUCCUCUGCCUUGGUGAGGCCUCUCUGGUAAUCAGAGCUCCCCCCAAAAUCUCAAGAAGGGAUUCAGAAGUUUAGCAGGGGCAAAGUAACUUUUCAAGCAACUAAAAAAAUACUUAACAUUUUUAAAGAGGAAAAAAAAAAUGUGGUCCAGACUAAUGCUCAGAAUACUGGGGGCAACUUAAAAGAGCCAGGUGCCCUUGAUUUUGCAUAUAUAUACAAAGGGUAAUCCAUCAGUCAGUGUCUUUUAUCUCAGACAAGCGUUGCCCCUUCCUAUUGCUGGAACAAAGUGCUCAUGGUCUAAGGCAAAGUGGACGUUGAACUUCCAAUAUGUGACACAUGGGCACUGGAUGUUUCAAUGAAGAUGGGAAGGUUAGCAAUAACUGGGUAUCAAUAAGAAUUCAAGAAUUCGAUAUGUUUACAUUUUUAGCAUGCAUCUUUACCUGGUGGGCUUCCCAUGUGGAAACUUGCACUAUAAUGAACUAAGAAGAAUAUUGCCUUGUUUUAUCUCAGUCCAAGUGCUUGUACUGCGAAGGCAAUGGCCUCUUCUUGCAAAAUACUAAUUUGUGUGCCAAUUUGUUUGAAAUUAUUUGAAGGCAGUUCAGCUUAAUCUCAGUAUCCUCUUUCUGGGAUUGUUGAGAUAGAUUCUUAAUAUUUCUGAGAGUACUUUUAAUGAGAGGAUUGUCAAAUUUGGGAAAGAGUUAUUAUUGGUUCUCAGGUUACAUGGACGGUUAAGCUUAAGUAAAAUACAUCUUGAUUACUAAACACGAGUUUUAAUUUGAAAAAUUGAGAAUGAACAUAAUACAAGUUGGGGAAAAAAAUGAAAAAAGAUUAUAGGCUUGGUGUAUCAUGAUAGUCACUAUUCAAAAGUAUGCCUGCUUAUGAUAUUAAAAUCUUAUCUGGGAAAUGAACUUUGAUAUCACACUGCACUGCAGCAAGCUCUUUGGGAUUGGUCUUCUGUAAGCGAGGUUCUCAACCUCACUUCCUCAGAGCCCAGGGUUUGCUGCCUGUUCAGGAGACCAUAAUUCAUGUCUUGCUGCCUGGCGGCUCUGAUGUGAUCAUGUUGCAUUCCUGCUGGUGGUUCAAGCUGGCAGAAGCGUGUCAAGUCAGAUAAUGGCACAUUCACACUGGAAAAAUGGAGCUGUUGGAUAGUGUUUUCUCAGUAUUAAUUUUUCUUCCAUGAAAUUCUGUUACUGCUUUGUCCCUUGUUGCCAUUCUUCUAUACUAUGUAUUAAAGAUGUCUGUUUGGCCAAAAAGUAUAGUUAUUUUAAUUGUAAUAUAAAAACACCUUUAACAGGUUUGAGAAAAAGAACAAUAGAUUAUUUAGAAAUGAAGGCUUCAAUUAAAGUACAUCUUCAUCUAAUGUAGGCCAGUAAUUUGGGGGGAAGUUUUUGUUUUGUUUAGGUUUUUGUUUUUUGAGACAGAGCCUUUUUAUGUAGCUCAAGCUGACCUCGAACUCAUCAUGUAGCCCAGGCUGUCCUCAGACUUGGAAUUCUCUUGCCUCAGUCUCCUGCAUGCUGGGAUUAUGGUAUACAAUGCCACACACCUGGCUGGGGAGGGUUGUUUGAGCAGUAUAAUUUUAAGAUAAUUUAGGGUUUUAUUUGUUCAUCAUUUUAAAAUAACUUAAACUCAAUACUUUGUAUAAUGGCAACUCAUUCAAUAUUUAAGUUGUAAAAAUAGCAUCUAUUUUGCAAUAUUCAGAAACAAAAAAUUUUGGACUUUUCACACCCCCAAAUACGAUUUUGCAGUGCUUGUCUACAUGUAUAUGGUUUGUCUGGAGCAUUGGAUAUGGGUGUGUGGAUAUUGGUCAGCUAAUAAUUGAGAUCCACACAUGAGACUGUACCUGUGUACUAAGCAUAGACAUGGACUGAGUCCUAAAGUUUAUAAUCAAGAUUUUAAAAUAUUAUUAGAUUUUUGUUUUCACCUUGUGAUCCACCUGCCUCAGCCUCCCAGAGUGCUAGGAUUACAAGCAUGUGCCUGUGAUUUCUUAAACUCAAGAAAUUUAAUUUUAUUUUGUGUUCUUUCCUUACCUCAAGCCUAAAAUAGGCCAAGAGAAAUACUAUGACUUGAGAAACUACUAGUAGCUUAUGUGUGAUUUCUGACUUCUGGAAUGGCAUCAUUCUCUCUCAAAAUUUGGCUUUUUAAGAGUAAAGUUUUAGAGUAAAGGACAUUGGCCCUCACCAUAAAAAUUGUACAUUUAUAAUUUUUUUAAAAAUUAAAAUGAUGGGGCUGGCUAGCUCAGUGGUUCCGUUGCCUGGCUCACAAGCCCAAGGGUCCAGAGUUCAAUCCGAGGUACAAAAAAAAAAUUUUGUUUUUUAAAUGAUAGGCAUUGUGAGCCCAUAUCCUCAGGGUAUUUCUCUUUGACUUGAUCGAAUAUCUCAUUAGAUUAAGCCUGGACCUGAGUGGAAGGGAGGUAGAUUUGUAGGUUUAUCUUAAUGACAUGAGAAUCAAAUUGGUGACUCUACCUUCACUUUCCGUUAUUGAAGUAAAAUGUACCAUUUUCUCUUUCAUAAGAAAUUUUUGUCAUUCUUAGCUUUAUUGCUGAAAAAUAUCUUCAUGACUUUAUAGAAAGAAUUAUACACUCAGUGAUUUCUUAUACUCAGAAGUGUAAUAUAGACUUAACUAGCCAGUGUGUUGGCCACCACCACCUAGAGUUUCCCCAGAAGUUAACACCAAAGAAUUAUAAACAACAUGCUUUUGCUUAACUGUCCAUUUGAGUGGUUUUGUUUUUUAAUUCAGUGUAUCAAGGGAUAGAGAUACUAAUCGAUGGAGAGACAUGUAUCUAUUUACAUCAAUCCCUAAAUAUGGGGUAUUAAAAGGAAUAUAAAGGAAAAGUCUGAUUCAAUCCAGUGUUAUAUGAAGUUAAGUAUCUGGGUUAUUGAAAAUUUGAGAGAAAGAGGAUACCAUGAAGCCUAAACUGGACUAGCCUUACUUGCAAGUGAAGGAUCUGGUGCUGCUUUCAGAUGUUUAUCCUUUAUGUUUUUAAAUUUUUUCUUAAGCUUUAAUCUUCGUCAUUGUCUUAAAGUCAACUGGUGUUUCUGUUCAUCGACUUUGGUACGAUGGUGCUUUGCAAGGAUGUAUUUAUAUUAUAAUGGCCAACAUUUGGUCAGCCCCUGUCCACUUACUCACUUUCCCCUUUUGUAAAAUAAGUGCUUUAAUUAUAACUGUAUAAAAAUACCUUGUAUAAAUCCCUUUUUUGAUUAUGACAAUAAGCUGAAUUGUAACAAAUGAAAUGUUGAUUUUUAU